AGUGAACGCUGGCGGUAGGCCUAACACAUGCAAGUCGAACGGCAGCACAGUAAGAGCUUGCUCUUACGGGUGGCGAGUGGCGGACGGGUGAGGAAUACAUCGGAAUCUACUUUUUCGUGGGGGAUAACGUAGGGAAACUUACGAUAAUACCGCAUACGACCUACCGGUGAAAGCAGGGGAUCUUCGCACCUUGCGCGAUUGAAUGAGCCGAUGUCGGAUUAGCUAGUUGGCGGGGUAAAGGCCCACCAAGGCGACGAUCCGUAGCCGGUCUGAGAGGAUGGUCAGCGACACUGGAACUGGGACACGGUCCAGACUCCUACGGGAGGCAGCAGUGGGGAAUAGUGGACAAUGGGCGCAAGCCUGAUCCAGCCAUACCGCGUGGGUGAAGAAGGCCUUCGGGUUGUAAAGCCCUUUUGUUGGGAAAGAAAAGCAGCAGGUUAAUACCCCGCUGUUCUGACGGUACCCAAAGAAUAAGCACCGGCUAACUUCGUG
rnacentral:rRNA from 1 species